UACGAAGGGGGCUAGCGUUGUUCGGAAUCACUGGGCGUAAAGCGCGCGUAGGCGGCCCGGUAAGUCCGCUGUGAAAGUCCAGGCUCAACCCUGGAACGCCGGUGGAUACUGUCGGGCUAGAGUCCGGAAGAGGCGAGUGGAAUUCCUGGUGUAGCGGUGGAAUGCGCAGAUAUCAGGAGGAACACCGAUGGCGAAGGCAGCUCGCUGGGACGGUACUGACGCUGAGGCGCGAAAGCGUGGGGGAGCGAACAGG
rnacentral:rRNA from 1 species